rnacentral:rRNA from 1 species
AACGAACGCUGGCGGCAUGCCUAACACAUGCAAGUCGAACGAAGCCUUCGGGCUUAGUGGCGCACGGGUGCGUAACGCGUGGGAAUCUGCCCUUUGGUUCGGAAUAACAGUUGGAAACGACUGCUAAUACCGGAUGAUGACGAAAGUCCAAAGAUUUAUCGCCAGAGGAUGAGCCCGCGUAGGAUUAGCUAGUUGGUGUGGUUAAGGCGCACCAAGGCGACGAUCCUUAGCUGGUCUGAGAGGAUGAUCAGCCACACUGGGACUGAGACACGGCCCAGACUCCUACGGGAGGCAGCAGUGGGGAAUAUUGGACAAUGGGCGAAAGCCUGAUCCAGCAAUGCCGCGUGAGUGAUGAAGGCCCUAGGGUUGUAAAGCCCUUUUACCCGGGAUGAUAAUGACAGUACCGGGAGAAUAAGCCCCGGCUAACUCCGUGCCAGCCGCCGCGGUAA